UUUCCAUAAAUGGAAGAAUGUAAAAUGUAUAUUUCCUUUAUAUUUCAGAUACCCAAGAAGAUGCGUUUGACAAAAGAGCAAAGAAUUGAAAUCAUACUGACAGCUGGAUUAGGAAGCAGUCGCAUGGUUGCAUGAAACUUUAACAGAAAACAUGGAACGAGCAUCACACACGACACUGUGGCAAAACAUAUUUGCAAGUUUCAGUAAACUGGAAAUGUUGCAGAUAAAUCACGAAGUGGUCCAAGACGUGCAGCGAUUACACAGUCUCACACAAAAAAAAGGUUGCCCAAUAUAAAAUGUUUAUUUUUUCUAUGUAUGGAAACUGAUGGCCCACCCUGCAGAUUUUAAAUUGACAGGAAGUAAGUCUCAAACUCGAGUCUUCUCACAGAAAGAGCACUUUGAGUAAAAGUGCUUCUGAUGUUCUAAGGGAACCUUACAAUUGCUGUUUAAAUUUACUCUGGUAGAUCUAUUGUUACCCUUCAAUUUCCUUAUAAAAUAGCUUCAUAGUUUAGGUGCAAUUCCUCUUAGACAUUUAAAAAUUUAUUUUAAAAAGUUGUGACUCAUAAAAUUGGAAAAAAAGAUCCAGAAUACCAAAAUUAGCCAAGAUAUGACAGUGAUUAAAUCUGAUUGACUUUUGCUGUAAAACCUUUAGCUGUUAUACUCCAUUGGUUUAGUUAGUCUGUGACGAAACAAUAGCUCUGUAAGAAAGCAUGAAGCAUGACAGAUGAUUGAGUGGAAGGACAUCUCUUUAUCUAACAAUU